CAUCUUCUUUUCUCAAUUUCUUCUUCCUUAUCUCUCUCUUCCACCCGCAUGGCCGCAUCCUCCACCCGCCGGUCCUAUCACCACCAGCUACUCUCCCCUUCACCGUCCGCCAGCCACUCUCGUCUACACGGUGCGUGCCUCUGCCAUGGCCAAUGGAGGAGCUAGGCCAAGACCUCCUCGUCACCGGUAACCGUUCAUGUGCGUCUAGGGGGCUAGCAAUGCGGCGCAGCUCCUACAGCACCUGGAUGCGGCGACCACGGUGGGCGACGCGCUCAUCUUCGCUGGACAUGCUCAGCUUCAGGGUGCCGAGGGUGGCUUUACCGUAGUGGCUCGACCAGAAGAUCAACAUCCGGCUCGUCGAGGAGGCACGGGACACCGGCGUGCGCGCGUGCCGCGACACGUCUGGGGAGUGUUCCAGCACGGCCAACUGCACCCCCAGGACCUAAGACCAUGCCGGUUAGCUUCAGAUCAGUCUGCUUGCCUUCCCUGCCAAAGGAAUUGAAGCGGGAGGAUUCAAAUCAAUGGCGUCAUUGUCUUCUUCUCCGCCUCAGUUGGCGCUCGACAGUGCGUCGAUCUCCUCCGCCAGUGAACGUUGCUCGUUCCCUCGGAGCCAAACAACCUCAAGUUGCCUCUCUCUUUUCCGCGUGUGUCACUGAAGGCAGUCGGUGCAGCAAGGCUGCGCGUGCAGGACGAGAAGAGCAGCGAUCUGGCCAGGACACAACAUGGACACGGGCGUCUGCGUAGCGAGUCUACGCGCAACAGUCGAGCCCGGCGGUAGCUCCAACCAAAAAUGGGCGAGUUCGUGGACUUUGUGUGUGCUACUGCCGGCGAGAAGUGAAAUGCUCAGAAGUUGCUCGACGUAAUGCCCCAAGGUAGUAAGAUGAGAAGAAGAUGAUUGUUCAGUCAUUGACAGGUGGGGCAUGCUUCUCAUCUGCCAUCUCAGUCCGUCAAAGCUUUGUUUGUGUUUGGUAUUCACCACGUCAGCCAGGUGCUUCAGAUCUAUUCAAGAUUCAAUGAGGAUGAUUGCAGCAGGGCGCUAGUCCUUAGGGGCACGUGCACAAAGGCCUGUUGGAUGUCAUCGAUAAGGUCAAACCAGCUCUGGUAGGGGAUCAACUCGUUCUAGUGGUGGUAAUGGCCGGUCUCAACAAUUUAAUGUAGUUUUUAUUGUGUUUGAGAUGUUUCGUACUUUUGAUAAACUUUAAUACGUAAUAGAUCCGGAUCCUUUUCGGAAAAAACAUGGCAUACGUUCCUUUUGUGCCAACUCAACGGGAGAGAGUGGCGUUUGAGAUUUCAA